AUAAUUGUUAAUGAGUAAACUCAUAUCUUUCAUCCUCAAGUGGUUGUGUAUCUUUUCUUGCUUAUAAAGCAUAUUUGAUAUGUCAUUCAUUUGUAAUUAAGAAAAACAUUAUACAUUAACCCACACACACCUGUGUCCUGUGAGCCUGUGGGUGGUUAUUUAGAGCAUCUCCCAUCUUUGUCGAUGUUUCGGACAAGCUUGUAUCAGAUGUUCAUCAAAGAAGAUUGUGUGUCUAAGGACUUCUUAUUCUUAAUCUUGGAGCUUAGGCAUGACCAACUGAAAGGAGGAGUCACAUAUGGUCCCUUGAGUAAUCCCUCUGCCAUUAAUUUGUAUGCAGCCUCUGUCAUGUGAAUGCCAUCCCAGGCCACAUACUUUGAAGGAUCAAUACAAGAUUCCUUUAUUACCCUCCCACAACGUCUACUAAAGUCGAAGUUGUACUGUCCUCCUACGCCGCAACAAGCGGACAAGGGUUUGUUUAUGAACCCUGACAAUAUGAUUGAUUAGGAAACUCGAUUAAUAGGAUAAUCAGUAAAUUGGUUGUGCUUAUUCAGUGAAGGUGUCAAAAAGGCUAACCGUAUUUGGAUGGUUCUUGGUUAAGGCGCAACAAAGUAUUGUAAUAGUCAGCAUAUAUGAUGUCGACAUGAGGGUUGAGCUUCCUGAGUCUCUUGAGUUCUGCC
rnacentral:lncRNA from 1 species